UACAGAGGGUGCAAGCGUUAAUCGGAAUUACUGGGCGUAAAGCGUGCGUAGUCGGUUAUUUAAGUCGGAUGUGAAAUCCCCGGGCUCAACCUGGGAAUUGCAUUCGAUACUGGAUAGCUAGAGUUCGGCAGAGGGAAGUGGAAUUUCGGGUGUAGCGGUGAAAUGCGUAGAGAUGUGGAGGAACACCAAUGGCGAAGGCAGCCUUCUGGGCCAACACUGACGCUCAUGCACGAAAGCGUGGGGAGCAAACAGG
rnacentral:rRNA from 1 species